ACGCCCGGCCGGUGCCCUGCAGACGCCCGGCUGUAUGCUGUGGAUCUGUGGUUUCUUUGCAAGAAAGGGAAAAAAACAAACAUCUGUAAUUUCUCCAUUGUGGUUUCACUUUUAUUCCAUUGUUCCUUUAUUUAUUUCACCAAAAAUAGCACUUUCUCUUUUAUUGUUGUUCUGAAACGUUUGUUUACAACAGACACUUGGGGGGAAAAAAGAAGGUAGACACUACUGAAUGUUACUUCUUACCCACAGAAUAAUCCACUGUACUGUCUGCAAACAGAGCUGGUUCGUCAACACUAUUUGGUACAGAGUAGGUUGAGGUUAACUAAUAAACUCGUGUUAAAGCCCAUAGGAUAGUCACUGGAGAUUGGACUACAGGAUGAAUCGGACAGUGAAAGAGUUUACGGGGGGAAUACAGAGCAGCAGAAACACUUUAAUAUCAAAAUGUUGGGUUUUCGUUGAAGUUUGAAGCUAGACGUUCUCUCUGGUUGUUUCUGAAAUGGCACCCAAUUCUUCUAUAGUGCACUAGUUUUGCUCAGAGCGCCAUUGGGACCUUGUCAACAGUAGUGCACUAGCUUUGCUCAAAGCGCCAUUGGGCCCUUGUCAACAGUAGUGCACUAUACAAGGAAUAGGAUACCAUUUGGGACACAGCCUCUCUCUCUUCUUCAGCCUGGCUGUUCCCGGUCCUAUGCCUCUGCAGUGGUGGGCAGAACUCCAACAUACAGAGUCUUCCUGUCCAGCAUCUUCACUGACCACUCUGCUGGGAUUUCUGAAACACAUAUACAAAUGAUUGAAAAGUAUGAUGGAAAACAAUCUCCUGGCAAAAGAAAGAGAGCAGCCUGUCAAAGCUCUGUCUCCACUACGUGAAACUAGAUCAUUUUAUUUCUGAGCGGUUUGAAAUCACCUAUUGGAGGGCUGCUGACCACUGACUGCUCUUUCAAACUCUCUUUAUGCAAUGCACUUUACUCUGUUAACUUCCAUUCAUUGUUAUGUUUUACGUUGCGUUUCUAGGUAGUGUUGUGUUGUGUUUCUAGGCAGUCUUGUGUUGUGUUUCUAGGCAGUCUUGUGUUGUGUUUCUAGGCAGUCUUGUGUUGUGUUUCUAGGCAGUGUUGUGUUGUGUUUCUAGGCAGUGUUGUGUUGUGUUUCUAGGCAGUGUUGUGUUGUGUUUCUAGGCAGUGUUGUGUUGUGUUUCUAGGCAGUGUUGUGUUGUGUUUCUAGGCAGUGUUGUGUUGUGUUUCUAGGCAGUGUUGUGUUGUGUUUCUAGGCAGUGUUGUGUUUCUAGGCAGUCUUGUGUUGUGUUUCUAGGCAGUGUUGUGUUUCUAGGCAGUGUUGUGUUUCUAGGCAGUGUUGUGUUGUGUUUCUAGGCAGUGUUGUGUUGUGUUUCUAGGCAGUGUUGUGUUUCUAGGCAGUGUUGUGUUGUGUUUCUAGGCAGUGUUGUGUUGUGUUUCUAGGCAGUGUUGUGUUUCUAGGCAGUGUUGU
rnacentral:lncRNA from 1 species